rnacentral:rRNA from 1 species
GUGAACGUCCAUGCCACUCUGAACAAGCCCAAUGUCUGAUCUCAGAAGCUUAGCAGGGUCGGGCCUGGUUAGUACUUAGAUGGGAGACCACCUAGGAAGACCAGAUACUGUAGAUU